rnacentral:rRNA from 1 species
AUGCUAGUCGCGGGACUUAGACUCCCGGCGAAUAGCUCCGUAACACGUGGCCAAACUACCCACUGGAGAGCGAUAAUCUCGGGAAACUGAGGCUAAUAGCUCAUAGCGCUUCCACGCUGGAAUGCACGAAGUGUGAAACGCUCCGGCGCCGGUGGAUGUGGCUGCGGCCGAUUAGGUAGACGGUGGGGUAACGGCCCACCGUGCCGAUAAUCGGUACGGGUUGUGAGAGCAAGAACCCGGAGACGGAAUCUGAGACAAGAUUCCGGGCCCUACGGGGCGCAGCAGGCGCGAAACCUUUACACUGCACGACAGUGCGAUAGGGGGACUCCAAGUGCGAGGGCAUAUAGUCCUCGCUUUUCGUGACCGUAAGGUGGUCUCGGAAUAAGAGCUGGGCAAGACCGGUGCCAGCCGCCGCGGUAAUACCGGCAGCUCGAGUGAUGGCCGAUCUUAUUGAGCCUAAAGCGUCCGUAGCUGGCCGCGAAAGUCCAUCGGGAAAUCCGUCCGCUUAACGGACGGGCGUCCGGUGGAAACUUCGCGGCUUGGGACCGGAAGACCCGAGGGGUACGUCCGGGGUAGGAGUGAAAUCCCGUAAUCCUGGACGGACCACCGAUGGCGAAAGCACCUCGGGAGGACGGAUCCGACAGUGAGGGACGAAAGCUAGGGUCUCGAACCGGAUUAGAUACCCGGGUAGUCCUAGCCGUAAACGAUGUUCGCUAGGUGUGACACAGGCUACGAGCCUGUGUUGUGCCGUAGGGAAGCCGAGAAGCGAACCGCUUGGGAAGUACGUCCGCAAGGAUGAAACUUAAAGGAAUUGGCGGGGGAGCACUACAACCGGAGGAGCCUGCGGUUUAAUUGGACUCAACGCCGGACAUCUCACCAGCUCCGACUACAGUGAUGACGGUCAGGUUGAUGACCUAGUCACGAGCUGUAGAGAGGAGGUGCAUGGCCGCCGUCAGCUCGUACCGUGAGGCGUCCUGUUAAGUCAGGCAACGAGCGAGACCCACAUUCCUAAUUGCCAGCAUCAGGUUCGCCUGGAUGGGUACAUUAGGGAGACUGCCGUGGCUAACACGGAGGAAGGAAUGGGCAACGGUAGGUCAGUAUGCCCCGAAUGAGCUGGGCUACACGCGGGCUACAAUGGCCGAGACAGUGGGUUCCAACCUCGAGAGAGGACGGUAAUCUCCGAAACUCGGUCGUAGUUCGGAUUGUGGGUUGAAACUCACCCACAUGAAGCUGGAUUCGGUAGUAAUCGCGUCUCAGCAGGGCGCGGUGAAUACGUCCCUGCUCCUUGCACACACCGCCCGUCAAAGCACCCGAGUGAGGUCCGGAUGAGGCGUUCAUGCGAACGUCGAAUCUGGGCUUCGCAAGGGGC